CCUACGGGGGGCAGCAGUAGGGAAUUUUCGGCAAUGGGGGGAACCCUGACCGAGCAACGCCGCGUGAACGAAGAAGUUAUUCGUAAUGUAAAGUUCUUUUAACAGGGAAGAAAGAGAAAUUUGACGGUACCUGAAGAAAAAGCAUCGGCUAACUCCGUGCCAGCAGCCGCGGUAAUACGGAGGAUGCGAGCGUUAUCCGGAUUUAUUGGGUUUAAAGGGUGCGUAGGCGGGCAUUUAAGCCGGCGGUCAAAUGUCGGGGCUCAACCCCGGCCUGCCGUCGGAACUGGGUGCCUUGAGUGGGCGAGAAGUAUGCGGAAUGCGUGGUGUAGCGGUGAAAUGCAUAGAUAUCACGCAGAACCCCGAUUGCGAAGGCAGCAUACCGGCGCCCUACUGACGCUGAGGCACGAAAGUGCGGGUAUCGAACAGGAUUAGAUACCCUUGUAGUC
rnacentral:rRNA from 1 species